AACCACUGCGCCACCAGGGAAGCCCCUUGAUGGAGUUUCAUUAGCCCAUUUUGUAGAUGAAACAGCUAAGGCCAAGGAGGGUUCAGUGGUGUGCCCUGAGGUCAGAAACCUGGCAAAUCUUGAGAAGGGUCCUCAGGACCAGAUCUUGACCCUGCAUGUCUCUGCUUUCUCUCCACUUGGUGCCAUCUGCUCUUGUCUGGAAUCCCUUGCAAUGCCACAUUCAGUAACUUUGUCACAUCCUAUGAGGGUUUUUCAACCUUGGCACUACCGAUGUUCUGGCCUGGAUGUUUCUUUGCUGGGGGCGGGGGCGCUGUCCUAUGCAUUGUAGGGUGUCCAGCAGCAGCCCUGGCCUUUGCCCUCUGGCACCACCCCCCAAGUGUGACAACCAGAAAAGUCUGCACACGUUGCCAGAUGUCUCCCGGGCACAGAUCACCCUCGCUAGAGUAACUGUACAUCACUUUUGCUUUGAAAGGAUUUUAGCUUUGAACGCGUGAGCUUAAUUGUUCUUUCUGAAGAUACUCAGAGGCCCCUGGCAUAGUCAGCUUUGGCGGGGAAGGCUGUUUUCUUCCUAAGCGCUCGCUGGCCCUGGUAAUAGGCUUUAUUUACAUAGUAAAACUCAAACAAAUACUUGCUUCACCUGCAUUUUUGUAUCUGGAAAAAGGAAAUGGAAGCAGGAACUCCGGAGUGCUGUGUUUCAUGGGCAUUCAGCGGGGCUGCUCGGUGAGGACUGCCUUUUCUCUGGGUCGGGUUUGAAGUUAAAGGGAUACUGACUUCCCGGGAGUGGCAUUCCUGGAAUUCAAAGUGCACACUUGAAGUCCCCCAGCAAGGUGGCAACCAGAUUUGUAACCAUUCGUUACGUUGACACUGACUUGUAGCUUGAUGUAUUACCAGGGCUGGAAGAGACACAGAACCCCAGUUUUUCAUACUGCUGUCGGAGAGGAGCAGAAAUAAUGUCCGUGCCUUAAGAAACUCCAAAGACUUUGACUUGUUAGUGUUUCCGAGACUGUGCUUUGAUGCGGGACCUCUCAGGACCUGUGUAAGUAGGUGCAAUGUUGUACGUGGUCCUGCUGUCUGCGUGGCACCUUCUUUCCCCAUCAGCUCAGCAAGUGUAAAAGUUCCGUGGGGGUGGCUAGGGCCUGCUUUCUAACGUGUCACUGGAGGGGCUAGAACUCCAGAAGGGCCCUUGGGGAUUCGUUAGGAAACCUUAAGUGAGCCAGCUGGGUGUCAGCAGGCCCCCUCCGGCCUCAGGAAUGUUUGUGAACCGGGGAAGGAAUGAAGCCCCUGGCCCUCCUUUUCACCGUUUCUUAGCCCUCCCCGCCCCUUCCUGCCAAGAAUGCGAGAGAGCCUUAGCCAGGAGCUCCAAAGAGGACAGUAAUUUGGGCCUGGCCUGGUCCCACGGGCGGCUCCUUUGGGAACCCGUUGAUUUUCAGGUUGCCUUUGGGGACCAGAGCCGUCCUGGGGGGUGGUGCGGGGGAGCUGGGGCUUGGGGUGCCCAGCCUGACGCACCCUCUCGGGAGCCUUUGGACCGUGCGGCGUUCGCUGGAUGCCAGGCCGUGUCCUUAAACGUCCUUCUUGGUCUGCACGCUGAAGGCGGGGUGGAGGGGAAGCAGGGCACGUUUCUGGGGGGGGUUGGACCACACACCCAGGUGGCAUAUAUGUGCUGUGUCAGCCGUUAGAGCUCCUAGAGCUCCUGAUGGAGGAGGCUUGGGGCAGAGACUAGCUGUCGGUUGGGGGUGGGAGGUCCCUUCCACGGUGGUCUGAAAGGGGCUCCGUUUCAUGGGCUGUGCUGAGUCACGGUCGUUGGUGAGCUGGCAGCCCUGGUCAGGACAAGUUGUUGUCUGGAUGUCCUUAUAUUUGCCCCCAAGAGCCAAGUUCUUUAUCAGUUACCACUGAAAGCUGUGAAAAAGGGUGGGGGUGUGUGUGUGUGUUGAACGCAGCUGUGUAUCGGGAACCGAUGGAUCUCAGCCUCUCUGGGUUUUGCUCGAUGUCGGUGUCGAAGCACAAUCCCACGUCAGCACCCGUCUAAGGAGCGCUGCCGCUUUCCCAGGGCUCCAUAGAAAUAAAUGGUGGGUGGGUGAGGGCUGGGCGCCCCUCCUCGGCAGACCCAGGUGCUGUGGGUACUGUUACGGCCAAGGCAACGCCUGGGCCCUGUAAGAUCCCAGCCUCUUGGAGGCCAGCUGCAGUUUGCUGUUUGUUCAGAGAAGUGUAAUGCCAGAGACUCAUUUGUAUUUAAAAAUUAAUAGUGCGGU
rnacentral:lncRNA from 1 species